CAAUGGCGUAUAUUAAAGUUGUUGCAGUUAAAAAGCUCGUAGUUGGAUUUCUGGUGGGAGCGACCGGUCGGCCCAAGUGGUGUGUACUAGUGUUGCAUCUGACAAUAUUUGCGGAGAGCGUGUGUGGCAUUAAUUUGUCGUGCUCGGGACCCGCAUCGUUUACUGUGAGAAAAUUAGAGUGUUCAAAGCAGGCUUAUGCCUUGGAUAUGUUAGCAUGGAAUAAUAAGAUAAGACUUUGGCGGUCUAUUUUGUUGGUUUGCACGCCAUUGUAAUGAUUGAUAGGGACAGUUGGGGGUAUUCAUAUUUAAUUGUCAGAGGUGAAAUUCUUGGAUUUAUGAAAGAUGAACUACUGCGAAAGCAUUUACCAAGGAUGUUUUCAUUAA
rnacentral:rRNA from 1 species